AGUGAACGCUGGCGGUAGGCCUAACACAUGCAAGUCGAACGGCAGCACAGUAAGAGCUUGCUCUUACGGGUGGCGAGUGGCGGACGGGUGAGGAAUACAUCGGAAUCUACUUUUUCGUGGGGGAUAACGUAGGGAAACUUACGCUAAUACCGCAUACGACCUACGGGUGAAAGCAGGGGAUCUUCGGACCUUGCGCGAUUGAAUGAGCCGAUGUCGGAUUAGCUAGUUGGCGGGGUAAAGGCCCACCAAGGCGACGAUCCGUAGCUGGUCUGAGAGGAUGAUCAGCCACACUGGAACUGAGACACGGUCCAGACUCCUACGGGAGGCAGCAGUGGGGAAUAUUGGACAAUGGGCGCAAGCCUGAUCCAGCCAUACCGCGUGGGUGAAGAAGGCCUUCGGGUUGUAAAGCCCUUUUGUUGGGAAGGAAAGGCAGCAGGUUAAUACCCCGCUGUUCUGACGGUACCCAAAGAAUAAGCACCGGCUAACUUCGUG
rnacentral:rRNA from 1 species